GAUGAACGCUGGCGGCGUGCUUAACACAUGCAAGUCGAACGAAGCACUUUAUUUGAUUUCCUUCGGGACUGAUUAUUUUGUGACUGAGUGGCGGACGGGUGAGUAACGCGUGGGUAACCUGCCUUGUACAGGGGGAUAACAGUUGGAAACGGCUGCUAAUACCGCAUAAGCGCACAGCAUCGCAUGAUGCAGUGUGAAAAACUCCGGUGGUAUAAGAUGGACCCGCGUUGGAUUAGCUAGUUGGUGAGGUAACGGCCCACCAAGGCGACGAUCCAUAGCCGACCUGAGAGGGUGACCGGCCACAUUGGGACUGAGACACGGCCCAAACUCCUACGGGAGGCAGCAGUGGGGAAUAUUGCACAAUGGGCGAAAGCCUGAUGCAGCGACGCCGCGUGAGCGAAGAAGUAUUUCGGUAUGUAAAGCUCUAUCAGCAGGGAAGAUAAUGACGGUACCUGACUAGAAGCACCGGCUAAAUACGUG
rnacentral:rRNA from 1 species